AUGCUGCAGGGUUCCACCGAUGCCUCUGUCGUCGUCAAGCAGGGUGUGGAGUCCUCGGCGGCCCCGGCAGCAGCGCCAUGUGGAAGCAAAGGGAAGAAGUAUCGGCUGAAGAAAAACGAGCUCAGGACCAUAAUUGCCCUCAGGCCGGAGCCGUUCCUGGAAGACGACUAUGUCGAUGACCUGGCCGAGUUCUUCCCGCCGGAGUGGAUCAAGAAGAAAAAACGGGAGCAGGUGGAGGAUGCGGCCUACUUUGGGAAAAUAGACGAGGAAUUCGAGGCCUUCCGGCAGCAGGUGAUCGAGGGGUUCAGGAAGAACGGCUACUUCGAGGUCGACGAGGACUUUCUCGAGGGCAGGGCGGAGGCCAGUGAACACGCCAGGCAAGAAUGGGCCAAGAUUGACUUUAGUGAACUACGUCUCGGUGCUGCUAGACCAAAUCAGGUACAACGGAAAAUUGGUGAUGGGUAUAUUCCUUACGUUCCUAAUGAGGACGAUGCUCUUUUGGAUGAUAUUCCGAGCGAUGAUGAUUCCGUGAGUGGCUAUGAAGUGGAUGAUGCUCGGCUCAGCCACGAACAGGACCUUGAAGGGGAAGGAGCCGAGGAUCUCAAGCUUGUUCCUCCUGUUGAAUCCAGCUGA
rnacentral:rRNA from 1 species